UCUUUCUAUUCCAGGAAGCCCUUGGAGCAUUGGGGCCUCACUGUACAUAUACAUAAUAAGAGACAGUCCCUGCUGCAGAACGCAGAGUCCCCACAGCUGCUUGCUUUGGUUAGAGCAUCUGACUCCGGAGCAAAGCCUUGAGUCAAAGCCUGACAUCAGGGCGCAGGGGUGCUGGAAGCAAAGUGGGUGCAGCGAGAUAGGGUGCAAUGGGGAAUGGCAGUCGAGGUGCCAGAUGGUUGUGCAGAUGGGGAACCUUGGCACAGAGACUUGCCCAGAAUCCCAAAGGAAAUUUUUGAAUUGGCGUCUCCUGGGUCCCAGCCCAGUCCAUCACCACAAGACCAGCCUCCCUUCUCCAGGAAAACACCCUCCCGGUUGAUUCGCCAAGCACUUUUGGAAAAUAAUUAGGAACAAUGGGAUCAUUUGACACUGAGUCAGGCCAGUAGCCCCAGCCUGAAUCCAGUCUCCUGACUCAGACAGUGGCCAGGACCAGCCGCUUCAAAGCAAGGAGCAAGAACCCCAGUGUGGACAGGAAUGGACUAUGUGCGAGGUGUUGUACACACAACAAUGGGGUCCCGCAUGCCUGGAUGUGAUGGUAAUCCAAAUAACAAUAAUUUAAUAACUCGUCCCUGGGGAACUUUUCCUGAUGUCCAUCACUGAGUGGUUGGUUCGUGCCCUGAAGCAAUGAGCCUUUAUAUCCCAUAUACAUUUCCAUCCGAUCAAAACGCAAUUGGAUUUUCCCAUUUGUCCAUAGAAAUGCCUGAUCCUUUCGUGAAUCCUGCUAAAUUCUUGGCUUCAAUGAGACGUUGUGGCAGUGAGUUCCACAGGCUAAAUAUGCACUGUGUACAAAAUAAACCAUUUUCCUGGCCCAUUUUUAAA